ensembl:lncRNA
AAAGGAGAGGCAGGAGGCAAAAUGAUGGUGAUGAUGGCCAUCUUCUUCAGAGUCUAGUUUUUGUUUGACAGCAGAACAAGGGUAAGAAAAGGGCUAUUUUGUCCGGGUAAGUGCACAUCAUUUGAUGUUGUAUGACUGCAGUACACAGCUUUGUUACUUUCAUCUCUAGAACUCUUGAUUUUCAGUUUAACCAUCACCUUACCAGCAGAACUCUGGAUUCUGCUGUCUUCCAUUAGUUAUGUAAGUAAUUAAAGUGUAUAAUUUCUGCAGACUCCAGACUUCAGUGUCACAUGAUCCUCCAGAAAUCAUUUUAAUAUGCUGAUUUGCUGCUCAAGAAACAUUUCUGAUUAUAAUCAGUGUUGAAAACACUGAAAACACAAUACUUCAUAUAACAUACACACACACACACACACACACACACUAACCUACAUUACAUGGGAAUGAACCCAUCAAUAGCUCUCCAGGUACUAACAUGACAACAUGUCUGCAGGCUAAGCAAAUGCUAAAAACUGUUCUGGUUACAGCAAAUUAAUUUACAUAUUAAAAGAGCUUGAUACUACAGCAAGUGUUCACCAUUAAUUAUGCCCAACCUGAUUAAAUAUUUCAAAACAAAGACCUGCCCUGUCCUGUAGCAGCUGCAUUAGUGCUUACAGUAUAUUGUGAGGAAUGCCGCUUGAACCAGAGCAAGCGCCUCCUAUCACCUGAUUCUAAUACUGUGCAGUGUAGUUCAAUGCCCUUGGCUAAAUGCAGAGUGUAAAGAGGAACCAAUGCUGAGUGGCUGGGCUGAUAAGAGCCAUCUCACUCGCUCGCUCUUAGUCAGGGAUUCACAGUCUCUCCCUCGGCCAAGAGCUUUCCAUUUCCGGACUAAAAUGAACCACAUCAUUAAUGAAGGUUAGUGCCAAGGGCAUGCUUUGUGUUGAUUAUUUUAAAACCCUGUCUUUGACCGCAGACUCGUCCCGACUGUAACGCACCACACUAUUAUCCCAGUACGGCUGAGUUUGUUGUGCAAUGUUUAAAAUUGCCUGAUGGAUGUGUGGAAAAGCGUGUUUGCUUUGUGGAGUUAACUGAGCGCAGCAGAAACUCUCUGACUCGGCUGACCCUACCGGAGGCUGUUUCUCAGCCAGCGCUGGUUGAGACUGAGAGCCCCUCUAGGACUCCAUCAUCCAAAAGCACUACCAUUCAUGAAUUUACACAGGUGCUGGCAGCGACUGUGUGCAGUGUCUGCACAUGCUGCUUAGUAGUAGGGGUGGGCGAUAUACAAGUUGAGUAAACCAAUGGAAAUAUAGCAACAGGAAGAAUUUUUGAAGUAUCUUGUUAAAAAGUACAUUUUGUUGUUGCGCACCAUGCCAUAGAGAAUAAUGAUUCUAAUCAUUUUACAUUCAGGUUUAAUGCACACUGUUAGCAAUUGAUGUCAUUUUUACAAGAAAUUUUACAACAACGCAUAGUAUUCAUGUUUUUUUUUUUUUGUAAAUGCAAAUGCAUGAUGGGAAAUUGAUGGACAGUACUGCAAUAUUAUUG